UGGUGGCGACAGCCAUGAAGACCCCGGCCAGGGCCACCUCAGAACCGGCCAGGUAGAAGAUGAUCUCAUAGUUCUUCAACGCAUCCACCAGGCGGCCUGGGGAGGAGCAGGAAGAGGAGGGAGAGAUGUAAAACCCCAUGUGGAUUCUGCCAUUUGAAACCUUAAAAAUGUCACUUGCUGUCCCUGGACCUCAAUUGCUUAAAUGAUAUGUGGCUUUUGGGAUGGGGUCUUGCUGUGUUGCCCAGGCUGGUCCUGAACUCCUGAGCUCAAGGGAUCCUCCCGACUUGGCCUCUCAAAGUGCUGGGAUUACAGAGACAGGGUUUUGCCAUGUUGCCCCGGCUGGUUUCAGACUUCUGGCCUCAGCCCCCCAAAGCGCUGGGAUUACAUGCAUGAGCCACUACACCCGACCAGGAAAAUCUCUUAAUUGCAAGUAUUUCCCCCUAAAGUGUGGUUUGUCUGUGUGCUCCACCCUCUCUCUAGGUCAUUCUCCUCACCCCAUGCACCUCCUCUGCCCAUCAGAUCCAUCCAGAUUCACACAAGAAAUGGAAGACGGUUCCUUGAGGCCUGGGCAGGCUGGUUUUGUGGCCUGCCCACACACUGGCUCAGGGACUUUGCCGUUCUCACUGGGUCAGGUGGGAUGACAGAGCUCAGUGAGGGCACUUGAUUAGCCCAGCCCUGAAGGAAGGACGGGCAGCUCACCCCAUCUCAGUGCAGCCUGCGGCCCCCGCAAGGUGUCCUCCCUGGUUACUGCACCAUCUCACAGCCCUCUAGCCUCUGGGACUCAAAGGCAGGCUCCCUUGCUGUUUCAAGAUAACUUGACAACCCAGGAAAACCCUCAUGUCCCCCACUCCCACCUUUCCAAUUUUGGUUCCUGCCUUGCUUGCAUAAGGACGCUGUUCCCCCCCCAACAAGCCCUGCCCAUCCAUGCUGUGCCUUCACCUGGGGGAUAUUCCAGGAAGCCUUCCCUGACCACCCUCAUGACGAUGACUUCCUAAGGGUGACGGUGACAAGUGCCAGCAGGCCAUCUGCACAGUGAAAGACACCAGUGCUUCUCCCCAUCUGCCCGCUGAGCACCCCCACUCUGUUUCUGGCCCCAACACCAGUUUCCUAAAGAUACUGUCCCCAUUCCAGUCACCAUUCUAGAUGCACCAUUCUAAAGGCGUGGGCAUUUAGCAUCGGGUACACUGAGGCUCUCAUUCUGGGGCUGCAACUUGCGCUAAGGCUUUGUGCCUCAGUUUCCUCAUCUGCAAAAUGAGAAUAAGCACCUGCGCUUCAGAUGGCCUUGUGCCAACUGCUUGGGAUGGCAGAUCUGGCCAGCUACCAGUGUUGCUUUCUUCCCCGCACCUUCCUGGGCUUUUCUGUCCUCACCCAGAGCGGGCGGUCCGGCUUGGAGGAGGGACUAACUGGCCGUGAAGGGGAGUCCACCCACCCGACUGCCCCUUCUCCUCAUCCCUGGAAGUUCCAUCUGAGACGGGGAUGGAGCUUCCCUGGGUCUAAGGAGCACUAGGCUCGCCACCCCCUCUUCCUUCGGGGCGCACCGGCAGA